rnacentral:misc_RNA from 1 species
AAAGAGAAAUCAUUUCUAAACAUAAUGAUGAUUUCAUUAGAUGCAUGUGGAAGAAAUGCAGAUACGUAAAUAGAAGUUAUGCAUCUGUAAUUCUGUAUUCAUACAGGAGAAACGCCUUGAUGUUGAUAGGUUCAAUUCAAACAUUUAAGCAAGAUAUGUUUCUAAUUAUAUAAAUUUUCUAAUCUUCCUUUCAUAUCAAUAAUAAUCUCUAAAUGGCCAAG